rnacentral:rRNA from 1 species
AAACUAAAAGUGUAUAGAUUGAAAAUCCCGAUAAUAAAAGAUCUAGAAAAAUAUUUGGUGUUGCAUAUUUUAUAAAAUACUGUUGCAUUAGUAUAUAAAAAUAUAUUUCUAGUGGUGAAAGACCUUCACUUUUAUAGGUAUCUGGAUAAACAUUAAAUAAAUUUAGUUUAUAGUAUAGUUACAGUGUGACAAGAUAGUGUAAUAAGAAUUUGUAGUAUUUUACUUUAUAGCCAUUAAUUAUUACUUAACGGCGUUAUUUUUGUAGAAAUAUAACUAUAUUCAAAAUUCUAAACUAAUGUUUUAUUCACUAAGCUUUAUAAGGUGAACAAAUAAUGUAUAAAUUAGUAAGUAUAGUAAGUUUAUUGAAGUAACUCGGCAAAAGUGUUAUACGACUGUUUAACAAAAACAUAGCCAGUAGGAAUUUAAUUAUUGGUGUGACCUGCCCGGUGACUUAUUUAACGGCCGCAGUACCCUGACUGUGCAAAGGUAGCAUAAUAAUUUGGCUUUUAAAUGAAGUCUAGCAUGAAAGGAAAAACGUAUAGCGACUGUCUCCAAACUCAAUUUUAAUUAAGUUACUUAUAAGGUGAAAAUUCCUUAAUAAUUAACAAUAGACGAGAAGACCCUUAGAAUUUUAAGAAAACCAGAAACUAAAAUGGAGUGAUUUUUGUUGGGGCAACAUUUUUUCAGAUAAUAAAAAAUAUUUGUUAAUUACAUAACGAGUAAGUAUAAUUAAGUAUAAAUUACCUAAGGGAUAACAGCAUAAUUUUGAGUAAAGAUUGUGACCUCGAUGUUGGACUAGGAACUAUUAAGGCUAAUCGUUUUAAUAAAAUAGGUUCUGUUCGAACUUUAUUUCCUACAUGAU